rnacentral:rRNA from 1 species
AGUUGGUAAGGUAACGGCUUACCAAGACUUCGAUGGGUAGGGGUCCUGAGAGGGAGAUCCCCCACACUGGUACUGAGACACGGACCAGACUCCUACGGGAGGCAGCAGUGAGGAAUAUUGGACAAUGGGCGCAAGCCUGAUCCAGCCAUGCCGCGUGCAGGAAGACUGCCCUAUGGGUUGUAAACUGCUUUUAUACAGGAAGAAUAAGGAGUACGUGUACUCUGAUGACGGUACUGUAAGAAUAAGGACCGGCUAACUCCGUGCCAGCAGCCGCGGUAAUACGGAGGGUCCGAGCGUUAUCCGGAAUUAUUGGGUUUAAAGGGUCCGUAGGCGGGCUGUUAAGUCAGAGGUGAAAUGCUGCGGCUCAACCGUAUGCACUGCCUUUGAUACUGGCGGUCUUGAGUUAUAGUGAAGUGGCUAGAAUAUGUAGUGUAGCGGUGAAAUGCAUAGAUAUUACAUAGAAUACCGAUUGCGAAGGCAGGUCACUAACUAUACACUGACGCUGAUGGACGAAAGCGUGGGUAGCGAACAGGAUUAGAUACCCUGGUAGUCCACGCCGUAAACGAUGGAUACUAGCUGUUCGGUUUUCGGACUGAGCGGCCAAGCGAAAGUGAUAAGUAUCCCACCUGGGGAGUACGUUCGCAAGAAUGAAACUCAAAGGAAUUGACGGGGGCCCGCACAAGCGGUGGAGCAUGUGGUUUAAUUCGAUGAUACGCGAGGAACCUUACCAGGGCUUAAAUGUAGAUUGACAGGUUUAGAGAUAGACUUUCCUUCGGGCAAUUUACAAGGUGCUGCAUGGUUGUCGUCAGCUCGUGCCGUGAGGUGUCAGGUUAAGUCCUAUAACGAGCGCAACCCCUGUCGUUAGUUGCCAGCAUGUAAUGAUGGGGACUCUAGCGAGACUGCCGGUGCAAACCGUGAGGAAGGUGGGGAUGACGUCAAAUCAUCACGGCCCUUACGUCCUGGGCCACACACGUGCUACAAUGGCCGGUACAGAGAGCAGCCAUGUUGUAAAGCAGAGCGAAUCUAUAAAACCGGU